AAUGACUAAAAGAAAUUAAAAAGAAGGUUGUAGUUGGGUUAGGAGGAGGUGGCAUUAUAAGCUUAUUAACCUUCCACUAAGCAAGCUCAAGCAUGUGCUGGAGAAAAGCUAAGUUAGCUAAGUAUGAUAAAUAAUUGAUGACGUCUGAUAUGAGAGGAAGGUUCAGAGAACUUUUAUGAAUUUAUUCUUAGCCUCUUCUCUAUUACCCCCAUCCGUUCCAUUCUUCAUUUCCUCUUUACUUACGAAACUCCAAAGAACACAAAAGUUGUCAAAAUCUUUAGACCUCAACGAAUUUGGCAACGAACUGAAGCUGGUACAUGAAAUUGGAGAAGAUUUGAGGCAAGACCAACUUAAAGAAGGAAGUAUAUUCAAUCAAUUUCAUGCUUGAAUCACGAAUUUGGUGGUUUCAUUAAGCAAGUAAGGUAAAGAUACUCAUUUAUAUUAUAUGUAAAAAAAAUGAAAGAAUAUGUGUGAAUAUCGAUGAGAAUAUUCUGUUUGGGUUGUGAAUUGAUAAAAGGGGAUGUUGUGUACUUUGUGCGGAGUGAUAAGGCUGAAAAUUUUGGGCUAGACUCCAUCCAAAUAGCUAUGAACUCUGUUUCUUAAAGUGGCUUAAAGUGGUGCACUAAGCGUGUUUGAUAAAAUGCCUCUUAGAUGUUGUCAAGCUUUAAAAGUGAAAAUUUGUUAAUGUUAUGAACAAGAUAACUUAUGUAUAUCAAAUUUGAUGUUACCUAGGUGGUUUAGCUGAGUUAAAAAGGGCUUAGAAGCAAGUUUAUAAAAGUUUAACAAUUUUGCUUUAAUAGGAAAUCUGAUGCAUCUGGGCAGUUUCAUGUCUUGCAAGUGAAGCUUAGAAUGUUUUUUUUUAACUAUGUUAUAUUUUUAUAAAAUAGUAUGUAGUACCAUAAAGAACAUAUUUCAAUUUGAAAGCAAUUGGAUGAAAGGGUUGCAAGAUAUAAAAUUUUGAAAUGGCCUAGUUGGAUUGCUGCAGCAGCGGCAGCAGUAACUGGGCACGCACACUGGCUACUGGAUGUCAGUUGCGUUGCCUUAUGUCAUGCAGAUUGUGCAAAUUUAAUGACAUUAAAUUGUACUGUAUUGUGUUUCGUGGUCUAUUUGGUGAAACGAAAUAGGAUGUAUAUUGAUGGCAUAUAAGAUUCAGUUCUAGAAUUUACUUCUUAAUGCUUUGUAUGGGAUAUUCCUUCUCUGUUAAGGUAAUGUAUCCUUUAUCUAAGAUAGGGGCAUUAUAAUGAUUUAUGAAACCUUUUAAACGAGAAAUAUGACUUUAAACCCAUUAUGACUAUUCAUAUAUCUUAUGUUCCUCAUAAGGAAAUUGGUGGGUUGAUGGGAUGAUGAAGUUUGUGUGUAAUGCAUCCGGGCCAAACCUUAACAUAAUGAAUAUAUAUUAAGGUUGGUAUACUGUAAUAUAUAUAUAUUAGGUUACUACAAUGUGGUGUUAUUAUUAAUUAUAUUUCUAAACUCAAAUCUGAUACCUAAUAUUUUAAUGGUAUCGAAUAUUAUAAUGGUAUCAUAAUAUGAGUUAUAACAUGAGUCAAAUCAAACAUGAAGUGUUAAGCAUCAAUGUUACACUUGAUAAUGCUUUAUGGCAGUGCUAAAGGAAAGCAUUUUAUCACAAAUUUUGAUUAAUUCGUAUUUGUAGUGUUAGAGUAACUUACGAUCUUUAUAUAUCCAUCAUAGUUUAUUACGAUGGUAUAUGAAUUAAUGGGUAUCAAGCAAUCCGUAAGUGAUUCAACAAUUAUAGUGAUCAUGUGAUUAUACUAAUAAAGACAUUAUGAAUGAUAUGGAUAUUCAUAGCAACAACAGAUAUAGUUGAUACGAGUUUAAUUGUAGUUCGUGGAUAAAGUAUACAUUAAGCUGUGUACCUUAUGUAUGUUAUAUAGGUGCUAUAUGAAGUCAUAACGCUUCAAGUUCACGAGAGCGAUUAGAACCGGUAGCAUUUUCACAGAAAAGGCAAGUUUUUCAGUUCAAUUAUGUUUGUGGAUUAAAUGUGAUUAUGUGGUGAGUUACAUACCAUGCUUUAUGAAUUGUUAAAGUCAAAAUAUGACUAACUUAAUUGGGUUAUGGAACUCAAUUUAUAUGUGAUAUGUGAUAGCACAUGAUGUAUGAUGUAACUUGAUAAUUUAGAAAUGUAUAAUGCAUAAAUGUAUGUGUUGUAAGGAAUUAUUGAUGCAUGUAGGAUAUUCAUAGUAAAGAAUGUAUGUUGCAUGCGGAUAUGCAUACUAAAGGAAAUAUAGUGCAUAUGGAAUUGUGUGCUAUGUGAAACAUGAUAGACUGUUAAAUUUGCUGGGCUGUUGAGCUCAAUCUUGCAAACACAAACUUUUUGCAGGUUAAUGAUGUUAAGCAAUAUUACAUGCUAUACGGAUGAUGAAGCUUGAACAAUAUGCAAAAUGAAUACAUUUCUUUGAAUUAGAAAUGGUAUAAAUUUAUGAUUGAUAGUUUUGAUAAAUGUAAUUGGCAGUUAUGUAUAGUUUAAAAUGUUGAAUGGAUAAAUAAUAUUUAUUCUGAAAUGAGAAUAAAUAUGAUUUUAGUAUAAAGAAGAAUUGUAAAGGUUGCGAUUCAGGGAAUAAACGAAUGGAAAUAAAGAAGAAGAAAAAAUUUAUUCUGCAUUUUUAGCUAUUUUAACAUUAAAUAAUGUUUUAAAGCUAUAACAAGAUAGUAUAAACGCACAAGAUUGGGAAGGAAAAUAGUCCCGAUUUUGGGGUUGUUACAGGGUGCUUAUGUUAGAAUUGAAAAUCACACCAGAAACUGAAGUUUUCUCUCUAUAUUAUCGAGCCUAUUUUUGUGAGUAUUUAGAUAUCUUGAGUGUCGCUAUACGGUGCAAGUUUCCUUCAGCGUUAUAUCUGAUAUUCCAGCCAUAAGUACUAUUUUUUUAAGGUAAGGGAUGUUAUUUUUUUAUAAAUGAUAUUAUUUCUUUCAAUUAUACCGGAAUAUUGGUAAGAUUUUUCUUGUGAAAUUCUUAUCUUUUCAUGUCAGGGUUACUAUUCACGAGUUACUAUUCACGAAGCAUGAUGAUUUUCUUGUGAAAUUUCUACCUUUUAGUGUCGGAGUUACUAUUCACGUAUACGACACUAUUCACAAAUACGACACUAUUCACAUAAAAAUUAAAUUUUUUUUUCUGUGUCCAAGACAUCUAUUAUGGAUACUAGCUUUGAUUGUAUCCAUGUUUUGAUUUUCAUUCUUGAAUUUUACUCCACUAUGGUUAUUUAUGAAGUAUUUUUGAACUUGGAUUGUUUGAAGUACGAAUCUUUAAUAUUUGUUCUUUUGUUUCACUUGAUUCGUUUCUUUAAAAAUAUUUUUCAUCAUCCUCAGUCCUAAAUGAUGAUAUUACUGAAUAUCUUUGGCCUGUAGUGCAAAGAUGAAUGAUUUCUUGAUGAAUAUCUUUGGCCCGUAGUGCAAAGAUGAACAGGUGUUGAGAUGAACAUGAUCGACUGAUUAAUAUCUUUGGCCUGUAGUGCAAAGAUGACUAUUUGAUUCAAGAUGUAUAUUGAUUGAUGUUACUGGGAUAAAAUAUCGAUUAUGGACUUUUAAAUCCAUAGAUGAUAGUAGAUUUCAUUCUCUACUUAACUCUUCUAAUGAAUUAUUGUUUCCGCUGCAGUUGUUGAUCUAAAACUUGUUGUCUAUUGUAUUCUAUCAAAUUUUUUCCUGUUGAAGACUAAGGAUAAUUUGUUGUACAUUAUCUUAGUCAUAAUAUUCUUUACUGGGCUAGUUGAGCUCACCAUUUUUCUUUUUGUUCUAUUUUUCUUCUCAGGAAGCGAGAAUAUAGCGGGGAGUAGUCAGGGUAUGGAGUGAUGUUCCAAGGCAGUGGUUAUAGUAGUCCUCACUAUUCUGUAAAAUAGUGUAUUAAUAAUUGUAAUGAGGACUCAUUUGAGUGUUAAUAUUUUCUAGAAGACAAUAUUUGUAUUUAAACUCACAGCAUAAGUGUUGUCGUAUUUUGCAUGACAAUUGUAAUAAUGAAGUUGUAGUUGUUUCUGUACCAUGUAUUUGGCGACUCAGAAUAGGUAGGGUGGAUUGGACCUAUUUUGGGGGCGUCACAUCUGGUGUAUACUUCUGGUGUAUUACAACAUUUAUUUCAACUAUUCUCAUUUUAGUAUAAUAUAACCCAAAAGAGAAAAUAUACAGUUUUUCUAAUAUGAGCUUCUGGCCCGAUACUAUUGAAGUAAUAUAAAGAAAUUUUUCACUGCCUU
rnacentral:lncRNA from 1 species